UCUUUAUCGAACUUAAAUAGUCCUAAGGACUUCAUCAUAACAACGGAGUUCAUUAGAAGAUGAAAGCUUAUGAUGAAGAUGCCAAAUAUAUUUUAUUUAUUAACAAAUCAAUUACAAUACUUGGUUACUCAACCGUCAACAGCUUGACGAUUGGCUUUUUGAGACAUAUUUUCCAACAAUUAAACCUCUCAUAAAUACUGAGUCUAAAUUCGAUGGGC
rnacentral:lncRNA from 1 species